rnacentral:rRNA from 1 species
GACGAACCGUGCGAACGUUGUUCGGAAUCACUGGGCUUAAAGGGCGCGUAGGCGGCCCGCACAGUCGGGGGUGAAAUCGUCCGGCUUAACCGGACAAGGGCCUCCGAUACUGGCGGGCUGGAGGGGGGUAGGGGCGGGCGGAACUUCCGGUGGAGCGGUGAAAUGUGUUGAUAUCGGAAGGAACGCCGGUGGCGAAAGCGGCCCGCUGGACCCCAUCUGACGCUGAGGCGCGAAAGCCAGGGGAGCGAAC